CCUAUGGAGUGCAAUGGAUGAGCCUCAGCCUGGGAAAACCACCUUCAUGAUCAUGGCAUCUCCCCUGCCAGGGCUUGGCCCCCACAGCUAUGGCACAGUAAGCAGAUUCAUCAAAAGCUGCUCCAUUCUUCUGGAAGCUUCAGAGAAAGGGAACACAGAAAUCUGGUAUGCUGGUAAAAAGGGAGAACUAUCCUAUCCCUGAACCAGGCCCAAAUGAGGUCUUGCUGAGGAUGCAUUCUGUUGGAAUCUGUGGCUCAGAUGUCCACUACUGGGAGUAUGGUCGAAUUGGGAAUUUUAUUGUGAAAAAGCCCAUGGUGCUGGGACAUGAAGCUUCGGGAACAGUCGAAAAAGUGGGAUCAUCGGCAAAGCACCUAAAACCAGGUGAUCGUGUUGCCAUCGAAUCUGGUGCUCCCCGAGAAAAUGAUGAAUUCUGCAAGAUGGGCCGAUACAAUCUGUCACCUUCCAUCUUCUUCUGUGCCACACCCCCCGAUGAUGGGAACCUCUGCCGGUUCUAUAAGCACAAUGCAGCCUUUUGUUACAAGCUUCCUGACAAUGUCACCUUUGAGGAAGGCGCCCUGAUUGAUCCACUUUCUGUGGGGAUCCAUGCCUGCAGGAGAGGCGGAGUUACCCUGGGACACAAGGUCCUUGUGUGUGGAGCUGGGGCAAUCGGGGUAGUCACUUUGCUCGUGGCCAAGGCAAUGGGAGCAGCUCAAGUAGUGGUGACUGAUCUGUCUGCUACCCGAUUGUCCAAAGCCAAGGAGAUUGGGGCUGAUUUAGUCCUCCAGAUCUCCAAGGAGAGCCCUCAGGAAAUCGCCAGGAAAGUAGAAGGUCUGCUGGGGUGCAAGCCGGAAGUCACCAUCGAGUGCACGGGGCAGAGGCCUCCAUCCAGGCAGGCAUCUACGCCACUCGCUCUGGUGGGAACCUCGUGCUUGUGGGGCUGGGCUCUGAGAUGACCACCGUACCCCUACUGCAUGCAGCCAUCCGGGAGGUGGAUAUCAAGGGCGUGUUUCGAUACUGCAACACGUGGCCAGUGGCGAUUUCGAUG
ensembl:lncRNA SORD2P sorbitol dehydrogenase 2, pseudogene